UUGGAGGGCAAGUCUGGUGCCAGCAGCCGCGGUAAUUCCAGCUCCAAUAGCGUAUAUUAAAGUUGUUGCAGUUAAAAAGCUCGUAGUUGAAUUUCGGGAUUAGUACGCUGGUCGUGCCUUCGGUACGUACUGGUGUUACUGAUUUCUACCUUCUGACGAACCAUCAUGUCAUUAAUUUGGUGUGGUGGGGAAUCAGGACUGUUACUUUGAAAAAAUUAGAGUGUUUAAAGCAGGCUCGCGCUUGAAUACAUUAGCAUGGAAUAAUGAAAUAGGACGUUGAUCCUAUUUUGUUGGUUUUUAGGAUUGACGUAAUGAUUAAUAGGGAUAGUUGGGGGCAUUAGUAUUCAAUUGUCAGAGGUGAAAUUCUUGGAUUUAUUGAAGACUAACUACUGCGAAAGCAUUUGCCAAGGAUGUUUUCAUUAAUCAAGAACGAAAAUUAGGGGAUCGAAGACGAUCAGAUACUGUCGUAGUCUUAACCAUAAACUAUGCCGACUAGGGAUCGGAUGAUGUUAUUAUAAUGACUCAUUCGGCGCCUACGGAAAC
rnacentral:rRNA from 1 species